CGGAGGGUCGUCGUCGUCUCCAGGGCGAUAACCGUGACCAGCGGCAGGGGGUUGAGAGGAGGAGGGGAGCAGCUUGGGGCCGUGCCCACUGCCCUGGGCAGCCGUUCCAUGCCCACCGCCCUGUGGUGCAGCCCCUUUCCCUCACCCCCCGCUGCCCCUCCCCUGACAGCUCCAUGCCGUUCCCUCGGGCCCUGUUCCCACCCGCCACCGCUCAUGGAGCAGAGGCUGUGGUACGUGCUGAGGAAGAAGGACUUGGAAGAUCUUGAGAACAGACACUGCUUCUGUGGUCUGAUUCUUGUAGAAGCAGUGACUGCGUUCCCUCAGGAACUGAGGACUCCUGGAAGGAAGAGGGAAACACAGAAUCUGCUGGUUUUAGUGAGAAAGUGCUUGGUGAGAUGCUGGAUGAGGGUUUGCGUUCUGGUCCUGUGCCAGGAACAAUGCAAGCAAUGGCAGUCAGAUAUGAAAGCAUAACAAUGACCUGGACAGACCUGUGAGUUGGGCAGAGAGAAACCUGAUGAGCUUCAGCAAGAACAAGCACGGGAUCCCGUACCUGGGAAGAAAUAACUGCAUGUAUCAGUACAGAUGAGGGGCUGACCUGCUGGAAAGGAGCUCUGUGGGGAAGGACUUAAGUGUUCUAGUGGACAACAGUUUGGCCUUCAGCCAGCAGUGUGCCACUCUGAGGUACUGUGGCUCCCCAGUUCGAGAACGAGAGGAAGAGAGGGAACUUCUUGAGAGAAUCCAGCAGAGGCCUGCAAAGAAGAUGAGGGGCCUGGAGCAUCUACACUAUUGAGGAAAGGCUGAGAGACCUGGGGCUGUUCAGCCUGGAGAAGAGUAGGAUGA
rnacentral:lncRNA from 1 species